rnacentral:rRNA from 1 species
UACGGAGGGUGCAAGCGUUAUCCGGAUUCACUGGGUUUAAAGGGUGCGUAGGAGGGCAGGUAAGUCAGUGGUGAAAUCCCCGAGCUUAACUUGGGAACUGCCGUUGAUACUAUCUGUCUUGAAUAUCGUGGAGGUGAGCGGAAUAUGUCAUGUAGCGGUGAAAUGCUUAGAUAUGACAUAGAACACCAAUUGCGAAAGCAGCUCGCUACACGAAUAUUGACUCUGAGGCACGAAAGCGUGGGGAUCAAACAGG